rnacentral:rRNA from 1 species
AUUGAACGCUGGCGGCAGGCCUAACACAUGCAAGUAGAGCGAGUGGCGGACGGGUGAGUAAUGUCUGGGAAUCUGCCUGAUAGAGGGGGAUCACUACUGGAAACGGUAGCUAAUAACGCAUACUAUCGGAUUAACCCAGAUGGGAUUAGCUAGUAGGUGGGGUAAAGGCUCACCUAGGCGACGAUCGCUAGCUGGUCUGAGAGGAUGAACGACCACACUGGGACUGAGACACGGUCCAGACUCCUACGGGAGGCAGCAGUGGGGAAUAUUGCACAAUGGGCGCAAGCCUGAUGCAGCCAUGCCGCGUGUAUGAAGAAGGCCUUAGGGUUGUAAAGUACUUUCAGCGGGGAGGCGUUACCCGCAGAAGAAGCACCGGCUAACUCCGUGCCAGCCGCCGCGGUAAUUC